GUUUUGAACGCGCUGUUGCACAGGCAAAGGCGGGAGCUUGAGGCUCCUUUUACUUUACCCAGAAUACAUUUUAUGGUUAUGGCAGACAGACAAGAAGUCAGAGAAAGAUGCAGUUACCCCGGCAUCAUUGACUUCCGAUCUGUUUUGCGCAUUGAGACAACAGAUUCCGUUUCGAUUAACAUCCCUAACUCUGGACUUCACUACGUCUCCACUGUUCUUAUGGAGUUCCUAGCCUUCAAUUCCUAAAUAUGAAAAAGCCCUAUAAAAAGAGACUAUCAGACGCACCCGAGGGCUCUUGGAUUUGGGGGUGGAAACUCUGUCGACCGCCUCCUUCCUGGUGGGCAGCCAGCUCCUGCAGCAGCGCGUCCUCGUCUCCUGUCAUCCCAGCAGGUCCAGACAACCAAUGACUCCAGAAGUCCGACUCUUCACUGAAGGACGGAUCCUUCGACGAGCACCUGAACAAUCAAUAUCUCCUCCACCAUGAAGGCUCGAGGAAGCUUGUGGCUUGAGUAAAACCCGGACUGGUCUGCGCCAUCUGAACUAUUCUCUCUCCACUCCCAACGAACUGGACUGCGAGAUUCUACCCACUCCCACACUCUGGCCGAUACAGUCGCAAACCCCGGGACAGUGCACAACGGACUAGAUUGAGUUGUACCCACUCCCGCUCUCCGGCUGAUUUGGUCGCAAAUACC
ensembl:lncRNA